rnacentral:lncRNA from 1 species
UUUUUUUUUUUUUUUUUGAGGCAGAGUCUCACUUUGUAGUCCUAGCUAGCCCAGAGCUCAGUAGAUAGAGCUGGCUGUCCUUGAACUCACAGAAAUUGACCUGUCCCUGCCUUUCUGAAUGCUCUGAUUAAAGCUGUGCCGUACCACACCUGGCUAAUGUCGACUUUGACUUUCUACAGUGGAUCACACACUCCUGAUUACAAAGCACAAGCCCACGGAGACAUCGGGACUGAAUUCAAGCAAGAACAAUAUUUUGAGUAAAUCGUCGACAAGCCCAUCAGUAGUUUACAGGAAAAUUGGCAGAACUGAGGAGCUUCGCAAGGGACUGAGACCCAGAUACUGACAUCCCCAGCAGGGCCAAGAGAUUGUGAGGACACAGCGGGCCACCAGCACUAGGCUGAUGGGCACUGUGUUACUGCCUGCUCUAUCCUAAUUAAGUAGUGACACUUCCCCCAGAAGUGCUUGCUCAGGCCGGUGUAAUAAUUUACACACAACUCCCCGGUGAGGGCUAAAGAAACUUAAUAUGGUACCGGGCAUCUGUUAAGGUCCGCUGCCCUCUGCCCUGACUUGGCAGUGAGAUCCUAGUGGCCUGCAGGUGAGAUAGGAGGAGGAGGACGAUGACAAUGGUGUUCCUGCUGUGACCUAUUUAACCGAUUGCUUUCUGCUUUUGUAAAGUUGUUUACCUUCGCAGGCCUGGAAUGAAAAGACUGUUUCAUUGCUAAACAACAGAAAAUGAGAACAGAAAGGAGAAAGAAUUUCUUAACCAGCCAUGGGUUCCGUGGAUAACUGUAAUGUCCACCUUUAAUAUCCACCAUUAUAAGCACUCCCUUUAGCUCUCUUCUGCAUGGCAUGCUGUCUGACUCCAAGGCUGCUUCCUCCUGCUAGCUGUAAGAAAGAAUUCAUUUAAACCUAAGUUUGAAUUGAGACCAAGGCUUGGGUGUUUCCCAGGGCGUUGGAACACCACAGGAUGACCCAGAUGAGACAGCCUUGCUUCCAAGGCAGACUGGCGUGGAGCAGAGCGGAGAUGAGGACCCAGUGUGUCAGGGCAGGGUGUCUGGAGUGUUACAGCUGGACUUUAGUUGUAGAUUUCAAGUUUCCAAUGUUGUGGUUUGAAUAUGAACACACACACACAUACACACACACCCUGCAAGCUCAUGUGUUUUGGUAUCUGCCCAGCUGAUGCUGCUGUUUGCGAAGGUUAUGAAAACCCAGAGAAGGACGGCCUCACUGGGUAACAUGAGUCCCAAGAGCUGGUCCCUGAGGUCUACUAACCCAGCCCUCCUUCCUGUUACUCAGCUUCCUAGUCCACGGGGCUGGUUGGAUUUUUGUCAACUUGACACAACCCAAGAUCAUCAGGGAAGAGCUGACCUCAGCUGAGAAGACGCCCUUUUCUGUUGGCAAGCCUAUGGGGCAUUUUCUUGACUGAUUCGUGGGGGAGAGCCCAGCAUACUCUUGAGUGGUACCACCUCUGGGCAGGAGCUCUGGUCUCUCUUGCCUCUAACCUGCUUGAGUUCCUGCUCUGACAUCCCUCAAGGAGAAACUGUGUGUGACCUAGAAUUAUAAGCCAGUUAAGCCCUUUCUCCUCCUCGUAAGUUGCUUGUGACCACAACAUUUAUCAUAGCAACAGAAACCCAGGUCACAAGUCCAUCAAGAGUUGAGGACACUGGGGAUCCUCUGGGCUGCGGCCUCAACCUGUGAAUCAAAGCAAACUCUCCAUCCUUAGUUGGUUUUGUUGGACAUUUUGUCACAGUACAGAAGGUAAUAUACACACUGUUAGCAUCUCUGCUUAUGAUAUCAACUUCCUAAGUGUGUGUGGCAGACAGUAAGAAGACAUAGGGGGAAGAGCCUGCUGAGCUGCUAGGUCGUAUCCUAUUUAGCAUAAUUCACUUUGCCCUACACUCCUGAGAGCAAAGGACAAACAAACUCAUAUAUGUAAUCCUAUCUGUGUUCUCAUUUCCAAGAUAAGGUCAUAGCGAACAGACUAGGGGACUUGUUGAAUUAUGUCACUAUUCUGUGAUAGGUGAUCCUUCUGAAACUGGUUCCUUCUUCUCAACACUGGAUUUAGUUGGUUAUGGGCCAUAAAGUUCCAUUUAAGGGGAAGUGAAACCCAGCACUGCUCUAAAUGGAGACAGAGGAAAAUCUGUUUUUGUAUUCAUGUGGGCAAC